rnacentral:rRNA from 1 species
UUGAACGCUGGCGGCAGGCCUAACACAUGCAAGUCGAACGGUAACAGGAAGAAGCUUGCUUCUUUGCUGACGAGUGGCGGACGGGUGAGUAAUGUCUGGGAAACUGCCUGAUGGAGGGGGAUAACUACUGGAAACGGUAGCUAAUACCGCAUAACGUCGCAAGACCAAAGAGGGGGACCUUCGGGCCUCUUGCCAUCGGAUGUGCCCAGAUGGGAUUAGCUAGUAGGUGGGGUAACGGCUCACCUAGGCGACGAUCCCUAGCUGGUCUGAGAGGAUGACCAGCCACACUGGAACUGAGACACGGUCCAGACUCCUACGGGAGGCAGCAGUGGGGAAUAUUGCACAAUGGGCGCAAGCCUGAUGCAGCCAUGCCGCGUGUAUGAAGAAGGCCUUCGGGUUGUAAAGUACUUUCAGCGGGGAGGAAGGGAGUAAAGUUAAUACCUUUGCUCAUUGACGUUACCCGCAGAAGAAGCACCGGCUAACUCCGUGCCAGCAGCCGCGGUAAUACGGAGGGUGCAAGCGUUAAUCGGAAUUACUGGGCGUAAAGCGCACGCAGGCGGUUUGUUAAGUCAGAUGUGAAAUCCCCGGGCUCAACCUGGGAACUGCAUCUGAUACUGGCAAGCUUGAGUCUCGUAGAGGGGGGUAGAAUUCCAGGUGUAGCGGUGAAAUGCGUAGAGAUCUGGAGGAAUACCGGUGGCGAAGGCGGCCCCCUGGACGAAGACUGACGCUCAGGUGCGAAAGCGUGGGGAGCAAACAGGAUUAGAUACCCUGGUAGUCCACGCCGUAAACGAUGUCGACUUGGAGGUUGUGCCCUUGAGGCGUGGCUUCCGGAGCUAACGCGUUAAGUCGACCGCCUGGGGAGUACGGCCGCAAGGUUAAAACUCAAAUGAAUUGACGGGGGCCCGCACAAGCGGUGGAGCAUGUGGUUUAAUUCGAUGCAACGCGAAGAACCUUACCUGGUCUUGACAUCCACGGAAGUUUUCAGAGAUGAGAAUGUGCCUUCGGGAACCGUGAGACAGGUGCUGCAUGGCUGUCGUCAGCUCGUGUUGUGAAAUGUUGGGUUAAGUCCCGCAACGAGCGCAACCCUUAUCCUUUGUUGCCAGCGGUCCGGCCGGGAACUCAAAGGAGACUGCCAGUGAUAAACUGGAGGAAGGUGAGGAUGACGUCAAGUCAUCAUGGCCCUUACGACCAGGGCUACACACGUGCUACAAUGGCGCAUACAAAGAGAAGCGACCUCGCGAGAGCAAGCGGACCUCAUAAAGUGCGUCGUAGUCCGGAUUGGAGUCUGCAACUCGACUCCAUGAAGUCGGAAUCGCUAGUAAUCGUGGAUCAGAAUGCCACGGUGAAUACGUUCCCGGGCCUUGUACACACCGCCCGUCACACCAUGGGGGUGGGUUGCAAAAGAAGUAGGUAGCUUAACCUUCGGGAGGGCGCUUACCACUUUGUGAUUCAUGACUGGGGUG